UAGAUGAUUUAAUGUAAAGCAUACCGAAUGAAGAGAAUGCUUUCAUUGGUAGAGAUUUGAAUGGACAUGUAGGAAAUGAUAGGCAAGGUUAUGAGAAUGUCUAUGGAGGUUUAGGUUUUGAUUUUGGUUUUGGCAGCCGAAAUAAGGAGGAAAAAAGUAUCCUAGGUUUUGCUAUGGUAUACGACCUAAUAUUAGCAAAUACCUAUUUUAUAAAAAG
rnacentral:misc_RNA from 1 species